rnacentral:rRNA from 1 species
ACGGGACCCGCACAAGCGGUGAUGAUGUGGAUUAAUUCGAUGCAACGCGAAGAACCUUUACCUACCCUUGACAUGUCCGGAACUUGCCAGAGAUGGCUUGGUGCCCGAAAGGGAAUCGGAACACAGGUGCUGCAUGGCUGUCGUCAGCUCGUGUCGUGAGAUGUUGGGUUAAGUCCCGCAACGAGCGCAACCCUUAUCAUUAGUUGCUACGCAAGGGCACUCUAAUGAGACUGCCGGUGACAAACCGGAGGAAGGUGGGGAUGACGUCAAGUCCUCAUGGCCCUUAUGAGUAGGGCUUCACACGUCAUACAAUGGUCGGUACAGAGGGUUGCCAAGCCGCGAGGCGGAGCCAAUCCCACAAAGCCGAUCGUAGUCCGGAUUGUUCUCUGCAACUCGAGAGCAUGAAGUCGGAAUCGCUAGUAAUCGCAGGUCAGCAUACUGCGGUGAAUACGUUCCCGGGUCUU